rnacentral:piRNA from 1 species
UCUCAGGCCCAACAAGUGUUUUGUCAGU